rnacentral:antisense_RNA from 1 species
UCCGGCCCCGCCGAGCUGCGCCCGCUGCCUUCACACCCCGGACAUCCGCGCCACACUGCUGGAUCCUGGAUCCUGUUCUAGAAGGAGACGCUGAGUUCUCCGCACUCUACCUGGAGCUGCUGAGGUCAAGUGGAGAGUGCCAGGGCUGCAGCCCAGCGAGCCCCUCCCUGUCACACCACACUGCACAUGUGACACCAAAGGCGGGGUUCACCUCUUUUCAGACUUUCUGUGGUUGCCCUCACAUGGGCUGUCUGGAGGUGCACCUCACUCUUCUUGAGGACCAUGGUUCCUUCUCCAUCACUGGUUCAUUCUGUAUGGUGUGACCCACCAUGGCUCUGGAGUCGGAUUUCCACCCAGGUCAUUCAGCUGAGACCUGCGCUUCCCAGGCCUACCCGUGACAUGUGAUCAGUUACCUGAGCUGCUGGUGGUCACUCAUGUGGCUGUAGCCUGCUGCCUGGAGGCCAGGCCUCCCGCUUCCCCUGCCUCCCCCUCUCCUCACCACAGCCUGUUGGGAUGGAACAGGACAGGGGUGAGACCGUGGUGCUUUCACACUCAGCCUCCAUGGACAUCUUGUCAUUCCCACCCCGGGAGGUCUGGUCCCCACCCUGGGUGUCCCAGCCUAGCUCUGCUACGACUGUGAGGGCCCAGGGCAACCGCCUAGCCCUCAUCUGCCUCCUGCACUGCAUCCUCCCCACUCAUUCAUUCCACAGGCAUUUAUUGAGCAUCUACUGUGUGCCAGAUGCAAAGAAGACAGUGGGAUAACUGCGCAAGGAGCAUUCCGGGCAGAGGGAGCAGCCAGUGCAAAGAUGGGAGAUGGGGUUUCAGUGAGAAGGAGCAGAGACCAGGAGUUGAGGCGACUGCAGAGCGAUUGCAGAGCUCAGAGACGUGAUGAAGACCAGCUGGGCACUGCAGUGGCUCUGGCUUCUGCUGUGAGGGACGGGGAGCUGUGGAGACUCCCUCUGUUUGGUCCCAUUUCCAUAUUGCUGAGCACCUGCUGCAUGCUCUCUGUCCUGCUCAGAGCCAGUACUUGGAGGGAGGCUGUGUGUUCUGGG